AACGUAGGAGACAAACGUUAUCCGGAGUUACUGGGCGUAAAGGGCGUGUAGGCGGUUUGUUAAGUCUGGCGUGAAAGCUCUCGGCUAAAACCGGGAGAGGUCGUUGGAUACUGGCAGACUAGAGGACGGUAGAGGCGUGUGGAAUUCCGGGUGUAGUGGUGAAAUGCGUAGAGAUCCGGAGGAACACCGAUGGCGAAGGCAAUCCCCUGGGCCUGCACUGACGCUCAUGCACGAAAGCGUGGGGAGCAAACAGG
rnacentral:rRNA from 1 species